CGCUGGGCGAAACGCCCUUCCCGCUGCCCUCCUGCAUCUGAGUCCGGAGCUGUGUGCGCAAAUACUCAGGCUUAGAUUUGCCUGCACAGACUGAUAAAGUUCCAUCAAAGAGCUCGGGCAUGGCUACACUUGUAAUUGUUCUGAAAAUGUGGAUGCAGCAGGGUACAGCCUGUGUUGCUGGGAUGGCAGCUCUGUCCCCAGGCUCUGCCUGUAUGUUACUUUAGCGGGGGGCAGGAAUCACCUCUCCCCACUGACCCCGGACCCGAUCCUGACACAGAGUUUUACUCCUCUAGACUGGAAACCUUUGGAAAGCCCACAAGAGGCUGGCUGAUAGUUUAUGACAGUUUUUUGGUGGCUCAGCUGGGAAGCCGAAGAAUACCCACUAGGAAGGAUCGAUCAUUUCAAGCCUAAAAAAGGGCAGCAUGACUGAGUUUGAACUCUUCUUUUCUAGUGGACAAUCACUGCUGUGGGUGCAGUGCCGGCACACCCCUCCAACGCAAACAAAAGUAAACGUGUUGGGUGAAGAAGGAAGGGUGCAUGUGAUAUUUUUAAAAGAGCUUUUCAACUUUCAUUCCGCAUGUUAACUGAAUGGGCAGUUUAAGAGAAAUAUUUGAAGACUCAUUCUUCUGGCAUGUAGGGACGGGGUACAUGCCAUGGCUCUGCUCUGGAGCUCAGCGGUGCUACCUCUUUCUUUGCUGCAGCUCAUAGCUUUGGGGUGCUUGAGACUGGCAAUACUGGAUGGUGUGUGUCCUUUCAGCCUUAGGCUGGAGGAUAUCUUCUCUGCAAUAUGGACAGCAGUUGAUCAAAAGACUCUACCUAUGAGGCCGGCUUGCAGUGGCCAGAAGACAUUACAGGUCUGUAUCUUGGCCUUAUAUUCCAAGUUUUGAGAGCACAGCAGUUUGGGGUACAGCAUGUCCUGGCCCAUGAUCUCUGGCCUCCCGAAUUCAGGUAAGGGCUCUCUUUGGUUUGUAACUCCUCCCCGGAGCACAAGCCUAGACAUUUUGGGUGCACAACGGUGUGAGCUGGAAGAGGUGGCACCUGCGCUUGACUCCUCUGCCACAUGAAGCAAGGAGCCAGAGACCGCCGGAUGCUGGCGGAGGGCAGCUACAGCCCUCAGCAUCACUGGGUAAGUAUAUGGCUUGCCCACAUAGCCUACGUUUUAUCUGAGCAGUUCCUGCAUGUUUUACUAGAAUGCUUCUCAAAUGAUUGUGGGGUGAGAAGGAAAAUUCUCCAUGCUCACUCUGCAUACGUGUAUCUGCAAGCAUGAAGCCACCCCUUACGUUUCCUGGUGGCUUCCUGUUCUCUGGCUAGUAAAUGUUAUCAGCAAAGACGGCAAGGAGGUGAGGUCCUGGGGAAUACAGCAAAGCUUUAUGGCAUGUUUACAAAAGGCAGCCGAAAAGAUUACACUAGGACGUACCGAAAUAUAGCUGCCCUCGGCACUGCGUCUGGCUCCGGGUUAUGGCCCUCCGACAUGGGACCGUGGAAAACUCUUACAAUGCACAGCGGGGGUAAUUUUGAAAAAGGUCUUGCUUUGCAGUUGUGUAGGUAACAUCUGUCUUGCUAACUGUACGGUUUGCAGUUAAUGCAUGCUCUGGGCCGGGUGAAGCGAGCAGCUUGGCUCUUUGGGCUCUGAUCUCGGCCCUCGGAGGAGCUGCAGCGCCCGAGCGAGCCGGGCGCUGAGCCGUGGCCGCUCCCAGACACGGGCGGCUCGUGCUUCUCCUCUGCUGCUCCUCUCCAGCCCUGAUGCUUUCCAUGCGCUCUCGGCACUCGUGUCUCAGCAGGGCCAUGUCUCCUUCGGAGCCGUGUCGUGCUCUUGGCUUCUGGUUUUGGAUGCGUGAGGGAACCAUCCUGCUUCGAACUGAACCAAACACCGGGCACUAGCCGCAAGGACGUGUGUGCUGGAGGGCUCAGCGCCUGAAGCGGCAGCCUGCGCUUGGCAGCACGGCCCGGACUGAAGGUGCUCUGCGCGGCUCAGUGAGGAAUGAAGAUGUGACUCUGUACCGCCGGGCUGGAGCAGCUCAAAGAGACUUUAAAAUCAGAAAUGAAAAUAUAGAUAUGGGAGGAAACAGGUGUCCACCUUAGAAGAAGGAAGACACCGCGUUCAGCAACGCUAGUCACAUGCUUGAGCACGUUCUCUCUAACUAGAACUCACCCUCCAGAAGGGAUUCAGAAGACUAAACGGACCAAGCUCAAUUCACUUAUUGAUGAACAUUAUAGCACAUGAGUGGGUGCGAGGGUUGUAGCUAGGUAGGGUGAAGCCAGCUCAGUGGACACCUGCAUUUACAGUGUGCUGAUUUACAGCUGAGAGCGCUGGUUCGUAUUAGGCUCGUCUGUUCUCGUUUUUCUUUUAUGCUAACCUGUGCGCAUCCUUCCAGUCAGCAAAGAUAAGGGCAUUUUCACAGCUUCCUCCUUUCCUUCCCUACCGCCUUCACUAACGGGUCAUAAACCUCCAUUCGUCCCGCGGGUGUCGCAGCCGUCUCACCCCCAGUGCCGUCACGGCAGCCGGCGGGGCUCAGGUUCGCGGGGCGCAGGCGGGGGUGCUCCGGGCGCUCGACGCCUGGCGCAUCCCGGGCCCCCGCACCCCCGGCUGCCGGAUCAGGAUUGCUUUCCCUUGAGCUGGCUUUGCUGCGUUGCAAUUUUAAACUCAGUUAUAUUGUUUACGAAAGGAGGGUUUGUAAACGCUUGUCGCCAGGAGAACAAAGUUACAUAAUUAAACGGUUUACCAGGGAGUCUGGGGCUUCAGGGAAAUUCUCUGGGGUGAUUCAGAGGUCCAAUAAAAAUACUGGGCGAUACCA
ensembl:lncRNA